CCAAACUUGGUCAUUUAGAGGAAGUAAAAGUCGUAACAAGGUUUCCGUAGGUGAACCUGCGGAAGGAUCAUUACAAAUUCAUGAUGGUGGUUGGGAUGAAGAGAAAGGAGGGAAGAGAGGAGAGAGUUUGGUCCAAGUGCAUUUGCCUUGGAUGAUACCCUUCACUCUUCCUUCACUCGUUCGCCCACCAAUCCACAUUUACGCUUGUUGUGUUUGACAGAGUAUCAUAUUCAUGAGAAUCUAUGACAACUUUUAACAAUGGAUCUCUUGGCUCUUGCAUCGAUGAAGAACGCAGC
rnacentral:misc_RNA from 1 species